rnacentral:rRNA from 1 species
UACGUAGGGGGCGAGCGUUGUCCGGAUUUAUUGGGCGUAAAGAGCUCGUAGGCGGUUUGGUAAGUCGGGUGUGAAAUCUCCACGCUCAACGUGGAGGGGCCACUCGAUACUGCCAUGACUCGAGUCCGGUAGAGGAGUGUGGAAUUCCCGGUGUAGCGGUGAAAUGCGCAGAUAUCGGGAGGAACAUCAGUUGCGAAGGCGGCUCUCUGGACCAGUACUGACGCUGAGGCACGAAAGCGUGGGGAGCAAACAGG